rnacentral:misc_RNA from 1 species
AGAAUAAUAAAAUAAAAAAUAAAGAGUAGUAAUUUUAUUAUCCCAUUCGGAUGGAUUAUA